AAUAUAUUUUUAAUUGAUUUUGGAUUUCCGGACCUCAAAAAUAAAUCAACGACACCCCCGAAUGAAUUUGACAAAUUCGUGAACUGCUGAAAUAAACAUAACCACACAAUAUCGAAGCAUCACGAGCAGCAAAAGUCAAGCUUCCUGCUCUCAUGUCUGCUGCACCUUUCAUGUGGUGCGAGGUUAUCAGCAAAGUUUUUGCUCCUGCAGGCCAAAGAGUAUUCAAAACUGCUGUUAAGGCAAAACUGAUAUCUGUUAGCCUUAAUUUUGGGAGACUUCAAAGAUGUAUGAAAAAAAUUGUGAUACCUUUCCUGCCAGUCCCAACUCUUAAAAACAAGGGUAUCAGUAAGUUUAAUAAAACAUUUUCAGUCCUCGUAUGAGAAGAAAACAUUCCAUGGCCACCACAUGUAUUUUCUAAAGAAUAUCCUUCUCCCAGAGAAAUAACAUGAAGGGCAAUUAAUCUCAAAACAGUCGAACAAAAAUGCUGAGGGGGUAUUUUUGACAUUAAAGCAGCAGAAGCAGAGGACGUCAUUUCUAUUCCUGUU